rnacentral:misc_RNA from 1 species
CUGAGGUACGCUCGGUGUCGCGUCAGCGCGCCGGUUACCCGCCCAUAUGUCAUAUGUGCUGGGGCCCGCCUUAGGGGGGGACCCAGGAAUAUAACUUCGGUCGAGGUGUUGCGUCGGGCACCUGCUUCGGCAGGGCCAGGCGCGACCGCGGCCGGCCUCAUUUUACACUCUUGUGAGAAGAUGAAGUCUGAAGCAAAUGCGAAUUAAAGCA